rnacentral:rRNA from 1 species
GAUGAACGCUAGCGGCAGGCCUAACACAUGCAAGUCGAGGGGCAUCAUGGCGUAGCAAUACGCUGAUGGCGACCGGCGCACGGGUGCGUAACGCGUAUGGAACCUACCCACCGCAGGGGGAUAACCCGCCGAAAGGCGGACUAAUACCCCAUGGUUCCCCGACCCUGCCUGGGGUUGGGGGUAAAGCCUACGGGCGGCGGUGGAUGGCCCUGCGUGCCAUUAGCUGGCUGGUGGGGUAACGGCCCACCAAGGCGAUGAUGGGUAGGCGGCCUGAGAGGGUGUACGCCCACACUGGGACUGAGAUACGGCCCAGACUCCUACGGGAGGCAGCAGUCGAGAAUAGUCUACAAUGGUCGAAAGACUGAUAGUGCGACGCCGCGUGAACGAAGAAGCCCUUCGGGGUGUAAAGUUCUUUUAUAUGUGAGCAGUGACACCCAUAUUAAUAGUAUGGGUGUAGAGAUAUUAGCAUAUGAAUAAGCAACGGCUAACUCCGUG